rnacentral:lncRNA from 1 species
UGAAAUUGGAUGGGGGCUGAGAGGUAGGGCUUGAUGUUAGAGCAUAUUGGAGACACUGAUGCUAACUUUAAAAUUAUUUAGAAGCUUUCUGAGAAAGGGUUUCCAAGUGGGAGAGUGUUGGCAACUAAAACAAUAAGGUUGGUGUCCCCAGUUUGACAAACUCUAGAUUCUCUUGCUUCAGAUAGUGCAUAUUCUUCUCAUCAACAAUCUCUCCCUGUCCACAUGAUCAUUAUUUUAACUUUCAAAUAUCUUACCAUUAAAGCUUCGGUGGGACACAACCCAGAAUCUAAAACAUAAUGUCAUUCAUUGUCUUCCUAAUUAAAUUAUUCUAAACAAAACCCAUCUUAAUCAUUCAUUUUACUGCAUACUUACCCUCAAAAAACGUGGUGCACCGUCUGCGAUCAUUCUUACUGUCCCAACAACCCAAGUAUUUUUCUACUACUAAUGUCUUAUGUC